UGGACUCGGCAUAUCUUCACCCUCCCAGCAUCAUUUGUCUCCGUGACCUGAAUCAUGUUUCGAAGAAUGAGUUCUGUGAGGUACUCUUCUGCUAUCUCCUCCAUUGUCAUUCCCUUUCUUUCUCUAAUGAAUCCUUCUGCUACCCAUAGCCGAAUUAGCUUCUUUCUCUUAAUUGGGUAACCAUCAUGGAAAACGCAGCAAUAUAAGAAACAAUGCUGCAAGUAGAAUGGUAAAUCAUUGAAACUCAACAGCAAGAUGCCUUUCACUCGUUCAAGCAUGGGAUUGUUAUUGAGUUGCCAAUUGAGGCUUUCAAAAACAGUCUUCCAUUCAUCAAUCCUCUUGCUUCUUGAACACAUGAGACCUCCAACAGCCACUAUUGCUAGAGGCAAGCCUUCACAUUUCUGCACAAUAGCCUCAGCUAAAGGUUGAAGAUGUCGGGGACACAUAUGCUCUGGGUCAUGCCAGAAUGCUUUUUUGCAGAAGAGAGACCAAGCAUCUUUCUGUUGAAGACGCUGAAGGUGAUGGAUAUGGCUUCCAAUUCCAAUGGAGGCAGCCACAUUCCCAUUUCUUGUUGUGAGGACAAUUCUGCUUCCAUAUCUGUUAUUGGGAAAUGCACCUCUUAUUUUGCUCCAAAGGUCUAUGCUCCACACAUCAUCUAAGACAAUAACAUACCUCUUCUGAUGCAAAUAAUCAACAAGCACUCUGACAAGAUUCCUGUAAUUCAUUGAACCCAAGUUGCUUGGUAUUGGCACUUGUUUUGUAUGAAAAAUUUCUUUGAUCAUGCUUCUUAAUAGCUCAUCAAUUCCAUAUAUUUGUGACACAGAUAUCCAUGCUCCACAAUCGAAGUGUCUCUUGAUUAUUUGAUUGUUGAAGACCCUUGUGACUAAAGUGGUCUUACCCAGGCCACCCAUUCCCACAAUUGAAAUAACAGUUCGGCGUGGUUCCUCCUCUGUUAACCAUCCAAGUAACUUUUCAGUAUUCUCUUCCAUCCCCACUAUCUCAUCUUCAUCUACAAAAGAUGAUGAUUCUCCGUAGUGUUGCCACCUAUCACUAGCCACAUUUCUAGUCCUCCCCUCUUCAAGCUGAUCAAAACCGUAUCGCUUGCUUCUCUCAUAAACCUCAUGAACCUUAGCUUUGAUCUUUUGUAGCUUUGAGGAAAUCUGAUGCCUUUUGGUCAUGUUCUUGGGGAAGUUGACCACAUCUUGGACUACAACCUUGAAUCCAUUUUUAAACUGCUCUCUGCUUUUGUAAUGCAUGAACUCAUCUAUUAUAUCCUCAGCCUCAUAUGCAACUUCUCUUACUUGCCUCACCCAUGUUUCCACCGACUCACUCCUUUCCUUCCUUCGUUCUGCAUCUCUUAAGAAUGAUCUCAUGCUCUCUAACUCAAGCUUUAUUUUUUCAACUUCAUCACGAGCAUCUCCAAGUAAUGAUGCCUUUUGCAUUAGAACAUUAGUUAGUUUAUCAAGCAAGAAGUUCACAGCGCCAUCUGCCAUUUUUACUUUGAAAAUUCUUCCUUAACCUGUUACUCUUUUGUUCUGCAAUUUCAUUUUCUUUCUUUGUUUGAAAGGAGAGAGGAAGCCGCAAACAAAAGGUGAGCAGGUAGGUUUCAUCUAAUAGUUUGACUGAGCCAACGAUGACUUAGAGGAAGACUUUAAAUGGGUUGAAAAUUAACACGAAAUUGUACCAUUGCUGAUCAUUUUAUUGGCUGGCCGGCCAAUCAAAAACAUAAAUUAAAAGCAUAAUUUGGCCAAUCUUCAUAAUCAUUGAGAAAUCCUACACAAAUAUAAGAGAGAACGCAUUAAAUUUUAGUCAUGUAUUGAAUACCCUCCAAUGUAAAUUUUGCUGGUGAUGAAUCGUUUAAGUUGAAAAAUUAUUAGAGCCAAUCCACCCAUAUAAUAAUUACUCGUAUAAUGUAGUCUAUGAAAUAGCCAGAUGUGUCCAUUGAGAGUAAUUAUCUAUAUUUUCUUGUCAAAUUGAACAUUGCCUUUGACAGCUAAAGCUUCUCAGGAAUGUCUUUAAGUUUGGUUGAAUCACAAUUCCUCAUAUACAUGCAAUAUAACUUGCAUUAAGGUUCAUCACGCAGGUAAUUAUUAUUGAUUUCUUGGUUCAC
rnacentral:misc_RNA from 1 species